rnacentral:rRNA from 1 species
GACAGAGGGUGCAAACGUUGUUCGGAAUUACUGGGCGUAAAGCGCGUGUAGGCUGCUCCGCAAGUCGGGUGUGAAAGCCCUGGGCUCAACCUAGGAAGUGCACUCGAAACUGCAGAGCUGGAGUCCUGGAGAGGAAGGCGGAAUUCUCGGUGUAGAGGUGAAAUUCGUAGAUAUCGAGAGGAACACCGGUGGCGAAGGCGGCCACCUGGACGGUAACUGACGCUGAGACGCGAAAGCGUGGGUAGCAAACAGG